CGGGCAGUAGCUCAGUGGUGGAGCUUCCGCUUUAUAUGCGGAAAAACCUGGUUCGAUUCCCGGCUGCUUCC
rfam:Toxocara canis scaffold271, whole genome shotgun sequence.